UCCAUCUCUCUCUGAUGGCUCCAUUGGCUGCCUGACCUGGCCAGGCCCCUUCACCGGCCCCACUACUACACCGUCCAACAUGGCACUACCGCGUCCGUGCGUCCGAUCCAUCCGUCCUGUCUGUCCACCCUCCUCACUGGAUCAAUGCACAGCUCAGAGGGCGUAGCUAUGUACCUCUGUCUUUAUUCAUUGAUGCUGGAUGUGAGCAGCACUCAGGACAACAAAGGACAUGUGAUUAGUGAUGGACUGAAAUGCCAUUUAUUUGCAGCCUGUCAAUAGGAACUGGGUUUCCCACAGCCUUGGUGCAUGAGGCUCACCUCAGAUCACUCUCACUUUAUAAUGUAAAAUAGAACUGCGCAACAAGCACAAGAAUGAACUUGUCUAUAAAAACUAAAAUGUGUGUGUAUUUCUGUUUAUUCUCACAUUUAAUAUGCCUCAUGAAGAUGAUAUCUGCACUGCUGCAUUUAUAUUAAGGACACUGAUUUUUGAAAAAAUGAUGUUCGUUUUGAUCAUGUUUGUCUUGUUCUUUUCUAUGUAUAAAUGCGCACAAGCAAGGUGUCCAUCCGUAAAUGUGUGUUGCCUUUCCUUUUUUAUCCGUUGUGCUAUUAAACCAUACUCUCUGGCGAAUCAAUCAGUCAGAGUAUUUAACAUCGCUGGGAGCGAGGAAAUAAAAAGAGGAGUCAGUGUUGAUUAUUGCUCAAUAGCCACGAGGACAUCCACUUAACGCGGGGAAAUGAGUGACACACCGUGCCCCGCUGGAAGUGGCCCCUGCAUGCGCUGUGGUGUGUAGCUCUGAGCGAAAUGUUAGCUAAUGCAUUCCAUUUGCUCUGUUCAACCCGUAGCAGGUUUGACACGUAUGGCGACAUAGACACAGGCAUGAUUCGUUUGUUUGUACUGAGGAAUUGUAAUCCCUAAUUUCAUGCACGAAUCAGAAGAGGUCCUCUGCACUCUGAACAACGAUCGCUGUCCCUUCAGUAGCAUUCCGAUUGAAUUCUCAUGAUCAAGAGAGAUUGUUUCAGAAGCUCCCUUAUCAGCUAACAUCCCCCAGAACACUGAGGAAAUCAUCAUUAAUAUUUCUGAUCGUAAUGAACGUGCGCACACAUGUGUAUGUGUGAGUAGGAGGGGAGAUAGUUGUGGGGGUUGGUUUAUUAUACCACUGCAAGUAUUAUCACUGACAGGAAAAAGUAUUUGUAAUUCCUGUUUUUGAUUAAAAAUUAUGUAAUAUCAUGUCAAUCUAUUCUGUCAAUUUUACUACAUUUUAAUACAUAAUAAACAUAUCUGAUUCUGAG